GUGAGGAAUUUUCCGCAAUGGGCGAAAGCCUGACGGAGCAAUGCCGCGUGAAGGAUGAAGGCCUAUGGGUUGUAAACUUCUUUUCUCAGAAAAGAAUUAUGACGGUAUCUGAGGAAUAAGCAUCGGCUAACUCUGUGCCAGCAGCCGCGGUAAGACAGAGGAUGCAAGCGUUAUCCGGAAUGAUUGGGCGUAAAGCGUCUGUAGGUUGUUUAAAAAGUAUUCUGUCAAAGAUUAGGGCUUAACCCUAGAUAGGAAGAAUAAACUUUUAAGCUAGAGUUUGGUAGAGGCAGAGGGAAUUCCCGGUGGAGCGGUGAAAUGCGUAGAUAUCGGGAGGAACACCAAAGGCGAAGGCACUCUGCUGGGCCAAUACUAACACUGAGAGACGAAAGCGAGGGGAGCAAAUGGGAUUAGAUACCCGGGUAGUCC
rnacentral:rRNA from 1 species